rnacentral:lncRNA from 1 species
UAGUCAGGCAAGAGCUGACCAGGCUCAAACACCAAUAUAGUGUGAUCGUUCACACCGCCUAGACUAGCGGUGCUGCCAAACUGCCCGUGCUACGGCAUGAGAUUUGGCUGCAUCUAGAAAGAACGAGAUGUCAGAGCUGGGUUGUGGUGACUUCACUUAAGCACAAUGCAUUGGAUACAAUUUUAUCUGAUGUCGAAGGAGGGCUGAACUUGCUGUCUAUUGUGAAGUUGGCGUCAGUCAGAUUGGUGAUACGAAUUGGAGACUUUGGGGCUAAAGAUAUGCAGGACCCACUUUUUCCCUGGGGCAAUACUUUGGAGUGCCAGUGCCUGCACACACAGGCAUUCACCACCUGCUUCUGGCCUCCUUCCAUGCACCACAUCUACACACAACACUAUAACAUCCUUAACACUCUUGAGAAAUGCACAACUCUUUCCAACAGACUGCAAAAGCAGAAGACAACAUUCUAGGACAUGGGAAUUGCCUCAACCUACUCCACUUAUGCUGAUGUUCCUCCCAGAUCAGCAUUUCGAACCCAACAUUCUGCAUUGAACAGUUCCACUCUGCACAUUCUCUAUUGGCGCAUUUGGCUACUCAGUGGCACACUCAGGAUUUGCACGAGGAGAGUUGGACGAUUUGUGCCAGUGAACCUAACCGUUCUGAACACCUGCCUUUUAUACUGAGGAUGGAAAAAUUGCUCAGGUAACUUAUGGCAUGACAACAGACCCAGCCCUGCUACUGUGACAAUCCCUGCACUUAAAGUAUGCAGCUGCAACUUUUCUAGUGCUUAGAGAGAGUUAACUGAAUGGUUCCUGAAUGGUUCUAUACACCCCGUUUCUGAGGGAUUCAUGUAUUCCUCCAAACUAUUUAGCACUAGUCACUUUUAAAGGCAAGAUACUCAAAUGAGAUGGACCAUGGGCUUGUUCCAUACUGGCCAUCUGUAUGCAUCUGUCUCUGUUGUGCUUCUGAACAACGUAUAUCUAUACAAUUACAAAGUAUUUUGCUUGAUUUUUCUGUCAGUUUUCACAGGUGUGAUGGACAAUGGAAGCAUCCCUCUCUGCAUCAUCUUCCAGUGACAUAAAAUAUCACCAUUGUGGCUUUGCUCCAACUUAUUUCAUAAAUGAAUGUGUUUUAUUGAGUACUUAACCGGAGACACAAUGAUCUCCAUUUGCUUGUCUUCUCUGCUUUUACCUGUUUUCUUUUUUUUUUAAUCUUUGAGUGAAUAUGUUUGUUAGCGCACGUCUUCUCUCUAUCCAUUGCCAUUUCCUUUUAAAUAACUGCAGUCUCCUGACAUAUUGGAGCACCACUUUUGCAUACAUUAUUUAAGGAGACAGAGUGCCAGCCCUGCAGAUGCGACAAGAAUUGUGACAGGAGCUCACAAAGCUCCAAUGGCAGCAGGAGUCUCACCCUCAACAACCGGUCACUGAGUAUGGAUGGUUGACAUUUUUCGUUAGGAAACUGAAGUGCUGUAGCCAUGACCUCAAGGGAAAAGUUGAUCCUUAGAUCCUAUAAAUGAUAAGGGCGGGAAGGAGACACUCUUCUGUGGACAGUUGGAUCCAAAUUUAACUGUUAGCUCUCAUUCAAGUCUCAGACUGGCACUUGGGGUUCGCUUCACUGCAUAUGGAGCUGCUUGAAGAGGGAAAGGCAAAAUGGACAUUCUUCACUCUUCUCUCAAAUGAAUCA